rnacentral:piRNA from 1 species
CACUUGGUGUUGAAUAACCAAUUGGUGGGCU